CGAACACUAUGUUGACUUGUUAAUAGUUUGGGAAGAAUAAAGGAGUUGCACUAACAGGCACCUUUUGUCUGUUUUGUUUUCAACAGAGUGAGAAGUGAAUUGGAGAUUUGUAAGAAGAGCUGCCUAUGCUAUCAUAUGCUGCCCAAAAAAAAAAAUUAUGGCAGAGUCUGCUGCAGAGCCUGUGACAGUGGAAAAAAGUGUGCAACCCAAGUCCUCUAAAGCAUGGGAGCAUUUUACGCUUAAUGCCGCAAAGAAGGUGGUCACCUGCAGAAUUUGCAAGGCAGAGCUUAUGUGGCACGGAAGCACCGCAGUGAUGAAUGAACACAUGAAAAGAAAACACGUGGGUUUCACUGAGGAAGGCGAGACAUCAGGACAAUACAGUUCCCAGGAUUCGAACCAAGUUAAAUAUUCUACAUGAUCCCACUUACGGAAAGCUACUGGACUAUAAUGGACAACAACGUGGAGAGGCCCAGAUCUCGGCCUAGGGGCUUUCCGGAAAGUAAAG